rnacentral:rRNA from 1 species
UACGUAGGUGGCAAGCGAUACUCGGAAUCACUAGGCGUAAAGCGCAGGUAGGCGGUUGGGUAAGUCUUUUGUGAAAGCUCCUGGCUUAACUGGGAGAGGUCAAAGGAAACUACUCGGCUAGAGUUUGGUAGGGGAUACUGGAAUUCCUGGUGUAGCGGUGAAAUGCGUAGAUAUCAGGAGGAAUACCUAUGGCGAAAGCAGGUAUCUGGGCCACAACUGACGCUGAGCUGCGAAAGCUAGGGGAGCAAACAGG